AUUGAAGCUUGUAUGAAGGGUUGGACGAGAUAAAAUCUGUCUUUAUUUAAAUUACAAUAAAAUUUAACUUUUAAGUCAAAAGGCUUAAAUGUGUAUAAAAGACGAGAAGACCCUAUAGAUCUUUAUUUAGUUAAUAUUUUAAUAAUUUAGGAUUAUUUUAAUCUAAAGUUUUAAUUAAAUUUUAUUGGGGUAAUAUAAAGAUUAAAUAAAUUCUUUUUAUUUAUUACAUUAAUUUAUGAAUUUGUGAUCCAAUAUUAUUGAUUAUAAGAUUAAGUUACCUUAGGGAUAACAGCGUAAUUUUUUUGGAGAGCUCAUAUCGAUAAAAAAGUUUGCGACCUC
rnacentral:rRNA from 1 species